GUAGUCAUGGCCGAGUGGUUAAGGCAUUGGACUUGCAAUCCAUCGCGGUCUCCCCGCGCAGGUUUGAAUCCUGCUGACUAUG